GACGAACGCUGGCGGCGUGCUUAAAACAUGACAGUAAAACGGAAAAGAAAUGAUUGAAGGGUAAAAGAAUGGAGAAAAGGUAAGACAAACAAAGGUGAAAUAAAAAGAACUUAGAGAACACCAAGGGACACUGGGUCUAAUACCGGAUAGGAGCCAUCUUUAGUGUGGUGGUUGGAAAGUUUUUUCGGUGUAGGAUGAGCUCGCGGCCUAUCAGCUUGUUGGUGGGGUAAUGGCCUACCAAGGCGGCGACGGGUAGCCGGCCUGAGAGGGUGUACGGCCACAUUGGGACUGAGAUACGGCCCAGACUCCUACGGGAGGCAGCAGUGGGGAAUAUUGCACAAUGGGCGCAAGCCUGAUGCAGCGACGCCGCGUGGGUGAUGAAGGCCUUCGGGUUGUAUACUCCUUUCGCUAGGGACGAAGCUUUUUUGUGACGGUACCUAGAUAAGAAGCACCGGCUAACUACGUG
rnacentral:rRNA from 1 species